rnacentral:rRNA from 1 species
GUGUGUAAGUGCAGCGAUGCAUUGAGCUAACCCGUACUAAUUACCCGUGAGGCUUAACCAUACAACACCCAAGAAGUGUUC